UACGUAUGGUGCAAGCGUUGUCCGGAUUUACUGGGUGUAAAGGGAGCGCAGGCGGCACGGCAAGCCUGAUGUGAAAGCCCGCGGCCCAACCGCGGGACUGCAUUGGGAACUACCGGGCUGGAGUGCCGGAGAGGUAGGCGGAAUUCCUAGUGUAGCGGUGAAAUGCGUAGAUAUUAGGAGGAACACCAGUGGCGAAGGCGGCCUACUGGACGGUGACUGACGCUGAGGCUCGAAAGCGUGGGGAGCAAACAGG
rnacentral:rRNA from 1 species